rnacentral:lncRNA from 1 species
ACUUACGGGAAGAAGAGUGUCACUUCCUCACAAACGCCCGGUUUGUCCCAGUGGACAUCACGGCUUUGCAAAUCGAUCACCGUGUCCGUAUGAGUGAAAACCUCUACCUCGCAGGAAUUCAACAAUCUCAACUCUUCUCGUCUUCUCCCUCUUUGCACGGCGGCCGGGGGGCCACCCCUAGUGAAGGCGGUCGUCCCUCAGACCUCUCUGCUCUAGCCGGAGGAGGUUGGCACUUCACCUUUUCCCUGUGUGCAGUUCUCUCAGGGAACGCACCAGGAUCUCCAUUCUUCUUUGCCGAAAGCGAAGGAGAAAAGGAGGACAGAACCUUCGAAAAUGUUGACCAUCAGGAGGG